rnacentral:rRNA from 1 species
AGGACGAACGCUGGCGGCGUGCUUAACACAUGCAAGUCGAACGGAAAGGCCCUGCUUUUGUGGGGUGCUCGAGUGGCGAACGGGUGAGUAACACGUGAGUAACCUGCCCUUGACUUUGGGAUAACUUCAGGGAACUGGGGCUAAUACCGGAUAGGAGCUCCUGCUGCAUGGUGGGGGUUGGAAAGUUUCGGCGGUUGGGGAUGGACUCGCGGCUUAUCAGCUUGUUGGUGGGGUAGUGGCUUACAAGGCUUUGACGGGUAGCCGGCCUGAGAGGGUGACCGGGCCACGAUUGGGACUGAGAUACGGCCCAGACUCCGUACGGGAGCAGCAGUGGGGAUAUUGCACAAUGGGCGAAGCCUGAUGCAGCAACGCCGCGUGGC